rnacentral:rRNA from 1 species
AACGAACGCUGGCGGCAUGCCUAACACAUGCAAGUCGAACGAUGCCUUCGGGCAUAGUGGCGCACGGGUGCGUAACGCGUGGGAAUCUGCCUUUCGGUUCGGAAUAACUCAGGGAAACUUGAGCUAAUACCGGUUAACGUCGCAAGACCAAAGAUUUAUCACCGAAAGAUGAGCCCGCGUAGGAUUAGCUAGUUGGUGAGGUAAAGGCUCACCAAGGCGACGAUCCUUAGCUGGUCUGAGAGGAUGAUCAGCCACACUGGGACUGAGACACGGCCCAGACUCCUACGGGAGGCAGCAGUGGGGAAUAUUGGACAAUGGGCGAAAGCCUGAUCCAGCAAUGCCGCGUGAGUGAUGAAGGCCUUAGGGUUGUAAAGCUCUUUUACCCGGGAAGAUAAUGACGGUACCGGGAGAAUAAGCCCCGGCUAACUCCGUG